CUCUCCCCCUCUUUCCCACACGCGAUUGGGGGAAAAAGUCUGUGUUUGUGUUCACUCUUGGGCCACUACUUCUGGAUUCCGGGAGAUUUUAUCUGACUUCCGGGCAUCUGGGAGACACUAUUGAUAUGCGGGAGACUUGCUGUGAUACAAAACCUCUUGACCAAUCAAGAAAUCAUCAAAGAACAGAUGGACAAACUGGUGAAGCUGGUUUAUGAAUUAAAGGGGGACAACGAAGAGAGCCCAUCUCUACCACCAGAAUCUCUACCCAUUGCAGCCCUUGAAAACCUGCAGGUUUUAGAGGGCAGCUCCAAGAUCAAGAAUUCAAGACAACACUGAAGCAGUAAGAAGAAACUGCCUCACUGCAACUUAAACGGACCAGUCGAGCAGUGGAUGAAAAGUUGGCUCCAUCUCGCUGGAGACCAAGAUGGAGGACGCCAUGCCAGGCAACUUUAACUGUUUCUCAGUUUGUUGAAUUGACAUGCAGAUUUUACUUGUUCUGCUUGUUUGUUUUGUUUGUUUGUAUGUUUGUUGGUUUGUUAACUGUGUAAGAAGUGUAAUAUGUUUGAAAAAAUAAGACUUAAACACUGAGUGCAUACUUAUACUUCUUAAGAUCCAUAGUUACCAUGCAUUGUCUGUUGCUAUGUAGGACUGCUCUGUUACUACUUUUUAGGUGGCUUGAGGCAGGUUGGGGGUUAGGGGUGGUGUGCUGGUAAUGCAGAACUGUUAACUUGUUUUGGUAUCUGACUUAAAGGUGGAAUGAGGUAAAUUGUCUUAGUCCAUAUAAGAUAGAUGUGUGAUCCAUUUUGUAGGUCCUGAGCUGGUACCCACCAUGAACAAGGUUGUGAUUUUCUUCUGGUACUCUUCAGGUGCAUACCUGACUCUGAACAUGCAACAUACAGCCCAUCCAAGGUGAACCUGUGGUAGUUUCCUCUGGCCCCGAUAAGCCCAUAAGAUGCCUGACAUCUGGCCCAUUUAAGGUGAAGCUGAAGUAAUUCCUCUGGUCCAGUUUUGGCCCAGACCUGGCCCACAACAUGUGAAAUAUGGCCCAUGAAGGGUAAGAGUGUGGUCUGGGCCUGAUUUGGCACAUAACUGGCCUAUAAGAUGCCUGACAUCUGGCCCAUUUAAGGUGAAGCUGAAGUUAAUUUCUCUGGCCCAGUUUUGGCCCACAUGUGAAAUAUGGCCCAUGUAGGGUAAGAGUGGUAUGGCCCUGAUCUGGCCCAUUUAAGGCAAAGGUGUGGAUAUUUGCUUUGGCCCGGAUUUGGCCCAGAAUUAAUCCACAACACACCUGACAUCUGGCCAAUAUAUGGUGGACAUGUGGCUAAGUUGAGGCUACCAGACUUGCCUUGAAUCAACACCGUACAUCAGGGCCGAAUGCUGGCCAUAAGAGAGCUGCAGAUGUGGGCCAAAAAUGUAUUGCUACCUGUGUGGUAUACAUAAUCUAUUCUCAGUGUGUUAAAAUGCGCCAUUAAA